rnacentral:lncRNA from 1 species
ACCCACUUCAAGUGCAAGCCCAGCAUCUGUCUAUUCAGUCUUUCAGAUCAAAUGGCUUUUUGAAUUUUGGUUAUUGCCAAGACACAGGCAACGUAGCAUAUUUAACAGAUGGCUCAACCUUUAAGAUGUUGAAUCUACUUGUGGAAAGAGUUUCUCCUUGCCUCCUUUGGCUGCAGUAAGUUUGCCAUAUGGUACACUGCAGCACUGCAGGUGUGGUGCUCCCCAGAAUGUGAUUCAUGUCUGCAGAUAGUAUGGGGAGAUUUCCAUAGCAACAGGCCACCAAAAAAUGAGACAAUGAAAAGUCUAUGUUAUAUAACAGGGUUUUUUGUUUUGUUUUCGUUCCUAUGCUGUGUGGGCAACUGGUUUGUAUUUCUUAUGGAUUUUAAUGAGGUAAUACACUCAAUUUCAUAAUAAGUUUCUCCUAUAGGUCAUGCCACAAAGAAAGGAACACAGAAACUCAAAAGUACCUGAACUUUCUAUCAUCAGUUAAUCAAAUUUCAAAUUCAGAUCUCUUUAUCUUAUCCUAAUUAUAAAUCCAGAAAUGUGCUUCAUAAGUAAUCAAUAAAGAACAAGAAAAUGUGGUUUGAUAUAGAAUUUUCUAAUAUUUGUUUAUCAAUAUACAUUGAGUACCCAUUGUAGCCACCCCUGACGCAGGAAGGGUUAAUAAUUACUGCAAAAGGCUUGCCAACAAACUGUGACCCAGAGGUGAGGAGGCCGGUUAGCCAAUGAUGGGUAAGACCUCCAGGGGGAGGCAACCUAAGCCAGGCAACAGUCGCCCGGGGGCACAGAUGGAGACGCGAGAUCAGGAGCAGGAGGGGCCAUUGCCUACGAGGGCUUGCAUGCUCCAAGAUAAAAUAUACGAGCACAGCAAUAACAUGAUAAUAUUAAAACAGAGGCCAAGGGAGGGCUCCUUGAGAAAUCACUAAGAAUUCUUGGCAUUCGCUAAUUACAUUGUCCAGAACACCUGUGUAUGUUUAACAGAUGUAAGCUAUGUAUAUAUUGAAACACUGGUUAUGAUAAACUCAGAGUGGCCAUCAGCCCUCUCCACAUCUAUCCUGAUGCGUACAUUGGACUGUGACACCGACACCCAUUAUAAGCAAGACACUGAGAUGAACAACAGUCUUUGUCUUUGAGAAGCUCCAAGUCUAGAAGGGAAGAAAAACACAAGCAAGUACAUUCACUACAUUAUAAUUGACAGAUAUUGUGCUCUGAGCAGCAGCAGGAUUGUUCUUAUUGAUAAUGCAGGAGGUCAGCUUCCUGGAUCAACCUUCUCUGAUGAAACAUCUUAAAAAUCCUGAAUAUAACAUUAAAAGUAAAAUUUCAGCACUAAUAAGCUCUCAGGAAAGUAAGAAAUUCUCAGGUCAGUCACCGAUAAAGAAUAGCAAUUUAACUUUUUUUUUGGGGGGGGGGAGUCACCAAGUUACUUUAUUUGAAGGAAUGGUACAAAUGAAAGAAUUUAAGUAGAUGUUUUGGUACAACUUACAGAAAAGAUAAAUGUAACCCUAACAUUCAUGCGCUGCCUGGUGACCAGGGAAGUCCUCUCAUGGCUAUGGGAAACAUCCUAAGGCUCAGUUCUUCCCAUCAUUGUCUUCCAGGGUGUGCUUGUCAAAGAGAUACCCUGCCAUGCCAGAUUCUGGGGGCCCCAUAAUGGAAAAGUUGGUUAUAGUGGUCAUCCAAUUCUUUGAAGAAUUUUGUCUGCUUAUUUAAGUAAUGACUCUCAAUGAAGGCACACAAAUGGGGGCUAUUUUCGUCAGUGGCCAGUUUGUGAGUACAGUCCCAGUAGUGACUGAUUCAUGCUUUUUCCCAAGUGUAACACACACUCUGUUGCAUUCAGCCCAUUCUCCCAGUCAUCGUGAUCUGGUUUCUUGAUAUCCUGAAGGAAUGGCCACCUCGUUGGUUCUGCAGCUUUAUCCGUUUCUCAGCAUGUUUCCUCGUCUUAUGAGAUUGGUGAAGAAAGCAUUUGGCAGAGUUCUUCAAAGCCACAUCAUCUCAAAGUAGUAAGACAUGGACAGGAAGAUGUAGGAAGCAUAGAGCUCCAGGUUGAUCUGGCAGUUGAUGGCGGCCUCUGAGUCAAGGUGGUAGUCCUGGCAUACCUGUGAGGGGGACGUGGUCCUCAUAGCACGUGGCUGAGGAGAGGAGGCCGGUUAGCCAAUGAUGGGUAAGACCUCCAGGGGGAGGCAACCUAAGCCAGGCAACAGUCGCCCGGGGGCACAGAUGGAGACGCGAGAUCAGGAGCAGGAGGGGCCAUUGCCUACGAGGGCUUGCAUGCUCCAAGAUAAAAUAUACGAGCACAGCAAUAACAUGAUAAUAUUAAAACAGAGGCCAAGGGAGGGCUCCUUGAGAAAUCACUAAGAAUUCUUGGCAUUCGCUAAUUACAUUGUCCAGAACACCUGUGUAUGUUUAACAGAUGUAAGCUAUGUAUAUAUUGAAACACUGGUUAUGAUAAACUCAGAGUGGCCAUCAGCCCUCUCCACAUCUAUCCUGAUGCGUACAUUGGACUGUGACACCGACACCCAUUAUAAGCAAGACACUGAGAUGAACAACAGUCUUUGUCUUUGAGAAGCUCCAAGUCUAGAAGGGAAGAAAAACACAAGCAAGUACAUUCACUACAUUAUAAUUGACAGAUAUUGUGCUCUGAGCAGCAGCAGGAUUGUUCUUAUUGAUAAUGCAGGAGGUCAGCUUCCUGGAUCAACCUUCUCUGAUGAAACAUCUUAAAAAUCCUGAAUAUAACAUUAAAAGUAAAAUUUCAGCACUAAUAAGCUCUCAGGAAAGUAAGAAAUUCUCAGGUCAGUCACCGAUAAAGAAUAGCAAUUUAACUUUUUUUUUGGGGGGGGGGAGUCACCAAGUUACUUUAUUUGAAGGAAUGGUACAAAUGAAAGAAUUUAAGUAGAUGUUUUGGUACAACUUACAGAAAAGAUAAAUGUAACCCUAACAUUCAUGCGCUGCCUGGUGACCAGGGAAGUCCUCUCAUGGCUAUGGGAAACAUCCUAAGGCUCAGUUCUUCCCAUCAUUGUCUUCCAGGGUGUGCUUGUCAAAGAGAUACCCUGCCAUGCCAGAUUCUGGGGGCCCCAUAAUGGAAAAGUUGGUUAUAGUGGUCAUCCAAUUCUUUGAAGAAUUUUGUCUGCUUAUUUAAGUAAUGACUCUCAAUGAAGGCACACAAAUGGGGGCUAUUUUCGUCAGUGGCCAGUUUGUGAGUACAGUCCCAGUAGUGACUGAUUCAUGCUUUUUCCCAAGUGUAACACACACUCUGUUGCAUUCAGCCCAUUCUCCCAGUCAUCGUGAUCUGGUUUCUUGAUAUCCUGAAGGAAUGGCCACCUCGUUGGUUCUGCAGCUUUAUCCGUUUCUCAGCAUGUUUCCUCGUCUUAUGAGAUUGGUGAAGAAAGCAUUUGGCAGAGUUCUUCAAAGCCACAUCAUCUCAAAGUAGUAAGACAUGGACAGGAAGAUGUAGGAAGCAUAGAGCUCCAGGUUGAUCUGGCAGUUGAUGGCGGCCUCUGAGUCAAGGUGGUAGUCCUGGCAUACCUGUGAGGGGGACGUGGUCCUCAUAGCACGUGGCUGAGGAGAGGUGGUGGCGGUGGUGGAGGCUGGGGUAGUCUGAGGGAGCUGUGAAGAGGCGAUGAAAGGUUGGCUCUGAGCGCCAGGCAGGGUGGGGGAUGAGUGCCCGUUCAGUCCAAGCACUGUUAAGGCAGGAAACUGCAGGACUCUUGGUGAAGAGC